rnacentral:rRNA from 1 species
GAACCUUUACUAUAGCUUGACACUGAACAUUGAGCCUUGAUGUGUAGGAUAGGUGGGAGGCUUUGAAGUGUGGACGCCAGUCUGCAUGGAGCCGACCUUGAAAUACCACCCUUUAAUGUUUGAUGUUCUAACGUUGGCCCCUAAUCGGGGUUGCGGACAGUGUCUGGUGGGUAGUUUGACUGGGGCGGUCUCCUCCUAAAGAGUAACGGAGGAGCACGAAGGUUGGCUAAUCCUGGUCGGACAUCAGGAGGUUAGUGCAAUGGCAUAAGCCAGCUUGACUGCGAGCGUGACGGCGCGAGCAGGUGCGAAAGCAGGUCAUAGUGAUCCGGUGGUUCUGAAUGGAAGGGCCAUCGCUCAACGGAUAAAAGGUACUCCGGGGAUAACAGGCUGAUACCGCCCAAGAGUUCAUAUCGACGGCGGUGUUUGGCACCUCGAUGUCGGCUCAUCACAUCCUGGGGCUGAAGUAGGUCCCAAGGGUAUGGCUGUUCGCCAUUUAAAGUGGUACGCGAGCUGGGUUUAGAACGUCGUGAGACAGUUCGGUCCCUAUCUGCCGUGGGCGCUGGAGAACUGAGGGGGGCUGCUCCUAGUACGAGAGGACCGGAGUGGACGCAUCACUGGUGUUCGGGUUGUCAUGCCAAUGGCACUGCCCGGUAGCUAAAUGCGGAAGAGAUAAGUGCUGAAAGCAUCUAAGCACGAAACUUGCC